AGUGAACGCUGGCGGUAGGCCUAACACAUGCAAGUCGAACGGCAGCACAGUAAGAGCUUGCUCUUACGGGUGGCGAGUGGCGGACGGGUGAGGAAUACAUCGGAAUCUACUUUUUCGUGGGGGAUAACGUAGGGAAACUUACGCUAAUACCGCAUACGACCUACGGGUGAAAGCAGGGGAUCUUCGGACCUUGCGCGAUUGAAUGAGCCGAUGUCGGAUUAGCUAGUUGGCGGGGUAAAGGCCCACCAAGGCGACGAUCCGUAGCUGGUCUGAGAGGAUGAUCAGCCACACUGGAACUGAGACACGGUCCAGACUCCUACGGGAGGCAGCAGUGGGGAAUAUUGGACAAAGGGCGCAAGCCUGAUCCAGCCAUACCGCGUGGGUGAAGAAGGCCUUCGGGUUGUAAAGCCCUUUUGUUGGGAAAGAAAAGCAGCAGGUUAAUACCUCGCUGUUCUGACGGUACCCAAAGAAUAAGCACCGGCUAACUUCGUG
rnacentral:rRNA from 1 species